rnacentral:rRNA from 1 species
AGUGAACGCUGGCGGUAGGCCUAACACAUGCAAGUCGAACGGCAGCACAGUAAGAGCUUGCUCUUACGGGUGGCGAGUGGCGGACGGGUGAGGAAUACAUCGGAAUCUACUUUUUCGUGGGGGAUAACGUAGGGAAACUUACGCUAAUACCGCAUACGACCUACGGGUGAAAGCAGGGGAUCUUCGGACCUUGCGCGAUUGAAUGAGCCGAUGUCGGAUUAGCUAGUUGGCGGGGUAAAGGCCCACCAAGGCGACGAUCCGUAGCUGGUCUGAGAGGAUGAUCAGCCACACUGGAACUGAGACGCGGUCCAGACUCCUACGGUAGGCAGCAGUGGGGAAUAUUGGACAAUGGGCGCAAGCCUGAUCCAGCCAUACCGCGUGGGUGAAGAAGGCCUUCGGGUUGUAAAGCCCUUUUGUUGGGAAAGAAAAGCAGCAGGUUAAUACCCCGCUGUUCUGACGGUACCCAAAGAAUAAGCACCGGCUAACUUCGUG